CCUACGGGAGGCAGCAGUGAGGAAUAUUGGUCAAUGGGCGAGAGUCUGAACCAGCCAAGUCGCGUGCGGGAGUACUGCCCUAUGGGUUGUAAACCUCUUUUGUCGGGGAGCAAAAGCCGGACGUGUCCGGCUGUGAGAGUUCCCGAAGAAAAAGCAUCGGCUAAGUCGGUGCAAGCAGCCGCGGUAAUACGGAGGAUGCGAGCGUUAUCCGGAUUUAUUGGGUUUAAGGGGUGCGCAGGCGGAUUUUUAAGUCAGCGGUAAAAUCGUGGGGCUCAACCCCAUCCAGCCGUUGAAACUGGGGAUCUAGAGUGUGCGAGGGGAAGGCGGAAUGCGUGGUGUAGCGGUGAAAUGCAUAGAUAUCACGCAGAACCCCGAUUGCGAAGGCAGCAUACCGGUGCACAACUGACGCUCAGGCACGAAAGCGUGGGUAUCGAACAGGAUUAGAUACCCCAGUAGUC
rnacentral:rRNA from 1 species